UUCCUUCCUUUCUUUCUUUCUUCCUUCCUUUCUUGUCUCUCCCUUCCUUCCUUUUCCAUUCCUUCUUCUUUUCUUUUUCUGUCCUUCCUUCCUUUCUUUUCCAUUCCUUCCCUCUUUCCUUUUUUCUUCUUCCAUGCUUCCUUUUUCAUUUCCUUUCUUCCUUCCUUCCUUCCUUUCUUCCUUUUCUUCUUCUUUCCUUUCUUUCUUUCUUGUCCCUCCCUCCCUUCCUUUCUUUUCCAUUCCUUCCUCUUUUCUUGUUCUAUCCUUCCUACCUUUCUUUCUUUUCCAUUCCUUCCCUCUUUCCUUUUUCUUCUUCCGUGCUUCCUUGUUUCAUUUCCUUCCUUCCAUCCUUCCUUUCUUUCUGCCUUUCCUUCUUCCUUCCUUCCUUUCUUGUCCAUUGCUUCCUCUUUUCUUUUUCUGUCCUUCCUUCCUUUCUUUUCCAUUCCUUCCUUCUCCAUUCCUUCCUCUUUUCUUUUUUCUUCUUCCGUGCUUCCUUUUUCAUUUUCCUUUCUUCCUUCCUUCCUUCCUUGUCCCUCCCUUCCUUCCUUUUCCAUUUCUUCCUCAUUUCUUCUGUCCUUCCUUCCUUUCUUUUCCAUUCCUUCCCUCUUUCUUUUUUCUUCUUUCGUCCUUACUUUUUUCUUCCUUCCUUUCUUCCUUCUUCCGUCCUUCCUUCUUUCCUCUUCUCUUCUUCCGUCCUUCCUUCAUUUCUUUCCCCUCCUUCCUUCUUUCCUCUUUUCUUCUUCUAUUCUUUCAGCGUAGUGUAAACUCCUCUGGCCUGAAGUUACAGUUUCACCUCCGACACUGGAGACUCCUUCCGUAAACGUUAAACAAACCUCUCUUUACAGAAAUCUUCGCCACAUCAACGGUUAACGAUAACACACUAAACCGCGCUACUGUCAGAGCUGCUGUUAUACAAAAUGAAUCAACACCUUCUGACCAAUCAGAGUCCAGCAGCAGCGUGGAUGAAUGCAACAUUGGAUGGUAGCGUUAUUCACGCUAACGCGGCUCACCUGGAGUAGCAUUUAUUAAAGGAAGCUGCAUCGGGAGAUCGAAAUGCCGUGUUGGUCAGUUUACAUAACGCAGAUCGCCCUGUCCGAACUCACUUCGCCUCUUUACCUCAUUAGCAUCGGCGUUUUUUUUUUUUGACGUCUGAUUUGUUUCGCCCGCACGCCGCUUUCAGAACCGAUUCACCAUUUCCCGCUAAACGCGCUGCACAUUAGCGCUUGACGGCUUUCGAAAACUUAAAUAAAACACACGAGGAGCUCCAAACCAGUCGUGUGCCUGAGCCUUCCGUGGCGUGUCUACGUGUGUCAGAAAUUCAGAAGCUCUGGGUUAUUCUUCUUUCAGGCUUCUCUGUACUUUGUUGAAUGUUUCAAAUGUCACAAUUGCUAAUGUGCUUUUAGCUGAACUGAAUUCAACAAGUAGCCAUCGUGGAGAAAAAGAGAAAAUAAAAACAAAGAGAGUGACAAAAGAGUCACUAGAAAAGUGAACAGAUUGCAGAAUUUUGCACUGGUUCAAGCAUUUAAAUGUGUUAUAGCCUGUUAGCUAACCAGCUAAUUCACAACACGGCGUAGAGUGAAAGAUUAGCUGUUUUUUGAUGAUUAGCAAAGAAAUGGUCCAAUGAGCAACAGGUAACUUUAUCUGAUCUGCUAUAUCUGCUAUCAACGUUUUAAAACCGUGCAGGUAUGAUUAUUAAUCAGGUAUGAUUAGUGCAACAAGAUCACAUAAAGUUAAGCUAGUUAAUGUAAGAAGAGACACAGAUGAACUACAGGCAAAUACGGCCAACUUGAAAGAUAUUGUGUGCGGAAAUAGUGUGCGAGAGGAAAAGUGUUUGAGGACAGAGUUUUUGUGGAAAAGUGUGAGGGGAAAUGUGUAAUGUGUAAAAAGUGUGUGAUGGGGGAAAAGUGUGUGACGGGGGGAGGGAAGUGUGUGAGAGGAAAAGUGUGUGUGAGGGACAAGUGUGUGAUGGGGAAAGUGUGUGAGGUAAAAUUGUAUGAAGGGAAAGUGUGUGAGGAGAAUGUGUGAGGGGAGUUUGUGUGAGGGGAGAGUGUGUGUGUGAGGAGAGUGUGUGUGAGGAGAGUGUGUGAGGGGAAAGCGUGUGUGUGAGGAGAGUGUGUGUGAGGAGAGUGUGUG
ensembl:lncRNA